UUAGAUUACGGGUGGAUCACACUGUGUAUAGUAUAGAGAGUUAUUAAAGAUGGAGGUUUAGAAUGAUGUUUUAGCAAAAUAAUAAUUAAUGGAAGGUCAAGAUCGGUGCUCCAUCAACAUGUCCUUGAACAUCUCAAAAAUUUCUUAACAUUGAUUAUCUCACACAAAUUACACAUUCUAUUGCAAGAGUUUCGUCAUAGGCAAAGCUAUUUUAGAAAAUCCAUUCACAAACCUUCCAUAUUAACCUGGCAAGCCAAGGAAGCUCCAAAUCUCAAAUACAAUUUUUGGCAACUUUCACUAAAGGAUAGCUUCAAUCCUUUUGGGAUCCACACGGAUUCCCUCAGCCGAAAUAAUGUGCCUUGGAAAGAACAAUUUGGAUAACCAAAACUUACACUUACUAAGCUUCCUGAAAUGUUGUUUCUCAUGCAACACUUGCAAUACGAUUCUCAGAUGCUAAUCAUGCUCAACCUCUAACCUCAAGUAUGUUAGGAUAUCAUCGAUCAACAUUAGUACAAAUUGAUCCAAAUAAGGUAAAGGUUAUGAAUUGAUUAAAUGAAUGAAUUUAAUGAUUAAUUAGCUACUGGUUUUCUAGUAUAUUAUUGAUUUAGGUGCUGACCCAAAUGCCACAAAUCAGCUGUAAAGGCAAAGAACGAUUGUACCUAUGGUUUGAAUCGAUACAGUGUAAGGGAUCUAACUAGUUUGGAUUCAUAAAAUAAUUAUAAUUUCAACGAUUUGUUUGAACUCAUAAGUGGGCGUUUGGGGCUGGUUUAAUCGUAAAUUGAUUGAAUUUAUACUAAAUUUUGGUUCAGGUUCAUUUAAGGAAUUAUUAAGGAAAAUUGGAUGAUUCGCUAGUGUGCUACGAGGAAGCGAAAAAUAAGGU
rnacentral:lncRNA from 1 species